rnacentral:lncRNA from 1 species
UUAUCGUGAGGGGGGAAGCGGCCGCAGAUUAAGGACAGCGCGGGUUAAGAGCAUGGUCAUAGUCUAGGAGCACGCCCGGUGGUCGGUGCGUAUGUUGUCUCCAUGCCAAAAAUAGCCACUUGAUUAUUUUAACAAAUCCCUCUUCUGCCUCUUAGUCAUGCUCAAAUCUGAGCUACCAUGUGUCUACUGAGCUUAAAAUUACCCACAACCCACAAUAGAAGGCAAGUAGGAUUUGACAGUGUAUGACAUGGUAAUCUAGCUUUAUAAAAUCCAAAUUGAUCAGGAUAUGCACAUAGAUGUUUACAUAUUUGCAUCCGUAGUGUCACUUAUAGGAUUGUAAUUAAUAGCAACCAUGGAGAGAGUCGGUUCAUUUUAUUAUGAGCACGUCUCUUCUUCUGCAUCCUGAAGAUCUGCUAAAAUAUGAAGUGAAUUUCCUGUUUUAUCUCACAUUUACCAAUUACACAUUGAAAUAUUUUGUUUUUCAAGAGAGUUUGAUUUGUACUUUGAAAGUUUUGGAAUUGGAGACAUCACCCUUCUUGUCCGCUGCCCAACUCCGUCGCGGCCCAGGCCUAGCAGGAGAUAGAGGCACCGCGAGGACUCACUGCAAAGAAGCCAUGGGAGGAGGACCCCGACUCGGAUGACGGCUGCUGAAAGAUCAUGCACUUCUUCGGCCCACA